UGUCAGUUGAACAGUUACCUUCAAAAAAUAGUCCAGGAUUAAUGUUGGUUUUUGUCCCAGUUUUUUUUGAUCGCGAUGGACAAAAAUGUUCUUGCCGAUAUAUCAAACACAAGCUCUGACUUAAACAGAUCAAGCCUUCCCAAUGUAGAGUUAUUGGAUAAUUUUGUGUUUUCACAAGAGAAAAAUUCAAGCUUGUGUAUUGAAAAUGAUAGAGAAGCGUCUCCUUCCUGUCGCCUGCUGUUUGAUCCUGAGGACAAGGAUGAUGACAUUGCAGAUCCGGAUUAUAUACUCUCAAGGGAGGAACAACAGAAUAUCAAUAUGGAUAGUGACUCAGAUUUAGAAGUACGAGACGUGACUUUUAAUAAUAUAGAAGAGACAGGUGAUAACAUAGAAGAAAUAGGUGAUAGCAUAGAAGAGAUCGGUGAAGCUGAUAGUCAAGAGGAUACAGAAUCAGAUGUAAAAGAAAAUAGACUCGAAAUAUAGAAUAAAAAGCGACCACGUACUUCAAAAGAAAAAGUUAUAAGAAAUAAAAAUAAACAUCCUAUCGGGCCUCCCACCUGGAACUGCAGGACUAAAAAAUGCCUUAAUGCAUACGAUUCAGACAAAAGAAAAGACUUGCAUACACGAUUUUGGUCAUUAGAUAAGGAUUUACAAACGAUGUGGCUUUAUAAGCAAAUUCACGAAACUUAAGCGAAACGUAAGCAUCUGGAAAGUCGUAGAAAUUGUUCUAGAACAUAUACCUUGCCAAAAAUUAACGCAAACGGUGAAGCCGAGCAGGUAAAAAAUAUGCCAAAAAUUUUUUGUGACAACUUUGGGGUACAAAAGUACGAUGGUGGUAGACUAUAAGUUAAAAAACAAUAAUGAUUCUCAUGGUACACAAAUAGCAACUCCCUUAUUAGCAGACCAAAGAGAAAAACGGACUCCAGCAAAUAAAAAAAGCAAAACUCCAAUUAAAGACCGUAUAAAUUCCUAUAAACCCAAACCAUCACAUUAUAGAAGAGCACACGGGCCAAAUAGAAAGUACCUAGCCAGCUGAAUUGUCUAUAAGGGAUUUGUACAAAGACUAUAACGAAAAAUAUCUUCCUUUUUAAAAACUUCUAUCUUUCUUACGCUUCCAAGAAUAUAUUUUUUUAGUUCCUAUUUUGGUUCCUUAUUAAAAAAAAUCGUAUUUGUAUACUUUACACCUAUUUUGUUAAUUAAAUCGACAUUAUUGGUACAAAUUCUAAAUAUACAAAUACGGUUAAGUUUUAAAACCUUGAACCUAAGAGUUUUUUUUUUAAUUAUUUUAACAAUUUUGUUUAGAGUUUUUUUUUAUAUUUUUAUUUUUUUUUUAUAGUUUUUAUAAAAAUCUUUUCUGCGAAAAUUAAUUUUAAGUUCCAGCAAGUUUAUAUUAAAAAAUUAGUAUAUU